rnacentral:lncRNA from 1 species
CUUAGGAGGACACUGGGGAGAAGUCGGAAAAGCCAUACCCGGGACCGCCUGCCACCAGCCGCUUCGACGGGGGGCUCUCAGCGAGAAGCCAGCCUUCCAAUGGUAACCUCUUUCCAUUUUAUCAUUGACAAGUGGCCUUUAAAUGAAGUGAAGAAGCCGGAGCUGUUGCCGUCUUCUGCAGCUGAUGACGAUGAUGGGCGAUGGGCGAUGGUGGAUGGCGGUGGUGGGAGUAGUUGGCAGCGACGACGAUGAUAACAGCCAGGCCAAGCGCUGUCCUUGACUAUUAGUUGUCAUGUUGUAAGGGCUCAAUUCCCGUUUCUCCUUGUUCUAGUUCCUGCCUUUUUUUCGUUUCCCCAUCCUCCAACACGGCUAAAGGAAUGCAGAGCGGGCCAUUUCUCUUGCAACUUCGCGUACAACAAUUUAGUGUGCAUUUUCCUAUUCUUCUUCCACUUCUUUGAAGUUUUUCCGCGACUUUCACUUGAGUGCUUGCAGCAGCUUCAGCAGCAUCAGCAGCAGUAGGGGGAGUGGCUCGAGGACACUGAGGCGGGGCCGCGUUUAAGUGAUAAUCCUGACUUAUGCUGCGAAUAAUGUUGCUAAACUGUUGACUGCACUUUCACUUUAACUUUUCCCUGUCUUUCGUCGCUUUAAUCCACGCAAAAUGUCUGGCUUUAGCUUGCGCCCCUGAAAACAUUGAAGAGCAGCGAAAACAUAUCAAUCUUUAAGACUGAAAUGAAUUUGGGGCUUGGAAAAGGCUUGGACCUACUUGUUCGUGGAUCAAACAUGAUCCUAGAAUAUAUUUUUUAUAUUAAUGAGCUUUAUUAUUAUUAUUUUUAUUUAUAUCAAACAUGUUCCUAGAAUAUAUUCACAAUAGUUUCCACAGGUCAGUGACAUAAUUCUCAUAGAAUCGAG